rnacentral:rRNA from 1 species
UACGUAGGGUGCAAGCGUUGUCCGGAAUUAUUGGGCGUAAAGAGCUCGUAGGCGGUUUGUCGCGUCUGCUGUGAAAACUCGGGGGCUUAACCCCCGGGCCUGCAGUGGGUACGGGGCAGACUAGAGUGCGGUAGGGGGAGACUGGAAUUCCUGGUGUAGCGGUGAAAAUGCGCAGAUAUCAGGAGGAACACCGGUGGCGAAGGCGGGUCUCUGGGCCCGUAACUGACGCUGAGGAGCGAAAAGCGUGGGGGAGCGAACAGG